CACACACACAUACAUACAUACGGGUGGUUCUCUGUCAAAUCAAAGAUCAAACAUUUUUUUCUUCAACCCAGGGUGAAUAUGUUCCAGAAACAGUUUCCAAUGCACCUGAAUUUUUUCACAUUUUUAAAUUACUUUUUACCAAAAUGGUACGGAGCCAAAGAUGUCAAUUUUGGCAAUUUUUGGGUUUUGAGCACAAAUUAAUUAAUUCAUAGCUCCUCAGGGAAGCAUUUUUCACUAUAGACAUCGAUAUACUUUAUUUUGUAAAAUUUUCUCACCUUUUUAAUUAAAAUACUCUUAAAGACAUAUAUAUAUAUGUACAUUUCCGCGGACAUUUGAACGCCUCCCAUAGAACUUCAUAGAUAUGAUACUAAUUUAUAUAAAGCAUACUUUCGCAUAUAGAUAGCAUAUUUACAUAUAGUUCGUUAAAGUAUACAUUAUUAUCAGUAAUUUAUUCCUAGAUAUCAACAAAUAAGUAAAUUAUUUGAAUAAAUUUUAUUUUGAAUGCUUAUGCAUUCAGUCAAAAUGUUUGAAUGCAAAAAUGAAAAGCAUUCAAAUUUUGAAUGCGCUUUUAUAGGUUAUAAAUAUACACACGUAGUUACAAUUAGUAAUAUUGCUAUAGACAAAUUUACAGAAUUUAUGUUUAUUUAAAUUAUAAUAUUUAUGUAAAUUAUUUUCAAACGAAAAAAUGUCGCAAAAAAAAGUUCAAAAUAUUUGAAUUUUCGGGCUUUAUCUUUAGUAGAUGAUUUAUCUAAAUGUUUAAUUGCUGACCCAUACUUUAAGUUUAAUGUUAUGAAAGUGAACAAUUCUAGUGAAAAUUUUAUUAAUUGCAAUGAAAGCCAUUUAUUUCAAAUAAUAAAUCAAUUUAUUCUAAACAAAAAUUAUGAAAAAACUAUUAAAGAGUUACAAAAAUGUGUUGACCUUCAAAGUUUGUCAAGUGAUUUCGAACUCAAUAUUUUUGAACGGCAACUUUAUAUGUAUUUGAAUAUAAUUAAUCCGCAGUGUAUUGUUGCCAUUGAAGAAACAUUGAGGUAUAAGACCAAAAUUAGACAAGUAAAAGUUGUAGCUAAGAGAGAUUUUAAAAGAAGUGAAAAAAUAGAAUGCCUCAUAGGUUAUUGUGCAAAGUUAAGCUCUGAAAAUAUAGCGUGGUUAGAAUCUCAUAGAAAAGAUUUUUCUAUAAUGCACAGCUCGAGAUCUAAGCAUACGUUGCUGCUGUUAGGUCCUGUAGCAUUUAUCAACCAUGAUUGCCAUGCUAAUUGCCAUUAUACUUUAAAUGACAAAGGUGAAGUCUUUGUUGUUGCGGAUACACACAUUAAAGCGGAACAAGAGAUAACUUGCUUUUAUGGCAUUGAUUACUUUAGACUUAACAAUUUGCACUGUCUUUGUUCAAGUUGUGAUGACAAACAUACUGGUGCAUUUCAUCAAGAACAAGAAAAUUUAGAUAUUGAUUUGUCAAAAAAAAACCAGUUAUUGUUAACGAAAGAUUCUUUGAAUGUAGAGCUACCUCAGGGUAUUCUGCCAACAAAAACAUCCUAACUGUUAUUAAAAAAUGGAAGACAAAUAUAAAAUUGAUUUCUGUAUAAAUGUUGUCUAAUUUCUGUAAAACUAAAAAAAAUUUAGACACUGUUAUUUCUUUCUGGGCUUUUUAUUUUCAUUUUUAUCAAAACCAUUUUCAAAUUUUAAAAGAAUUUUAUUCUAUAGACGACGUGAAUUUUAUAGACAGUAUAAGAAAUUUUCGGUUACUGACAAAAGAACUGCAAAGUAAAAAAAUUGAUUUCAAUUGUCAAUGAAAGGUUACGAAUUUUGAAAAUAAAGGUUUAAAGUUUGACAGUACAUUGUACGCUAGUCUUAUAUCAGUGCUUAAGCAGAUCUAUACAAUAGAUGAAUUAACUUCAAAAAACUUUGAAUUAUCAGAUAAUGAAAUUGAGAUUAUAGUUAAUAAGAUAUAUAAAAAUAAUCACCCGACUAGUUACAAAGCUGUUUCCAAAUUUUUGUAUGAUUUUAAAUCAGAGAUUGAGCAUGAUAUAAGAACUAUCAUGGAAAAUCAAAAUGCAAAAACACUUGCGCCUGAGCAUCAAAAAAUGAAAAAUUACACGAAUAAAUUGAUUGCUAUUUGCAUAUGUUAUUUUUACAAAGAAUUUGCACAUUGCAUAUAUAAAGGUGAAAAAAUGCCAUUAGCUGCAAAAAAAUGUAUCUUAGUUAAAAUGCAUGGACUCCAACCUACAAACAAUCAAAAAUCGAAACUAGAUAACUAUCUUAAUUGGUAUAAAGUUUAUUUACAAGAGGAAUCAAAAUACAUAAUAGAUACUGCUAUGGAAUAUGUAAUGUUAUCUGAUAUUCAAAGACGAGAACUUAGGAUUGUUAUAAAACCUCUUGAAAAAGAAAACAAAAAUUUUAAAACUUCAGAAAUUCCUGCAAAUAUAUCCGAACAAGAAAUAAGAUCAAAUGAUGCUUUUAUAAAAUAUACUAGACAAGAAAUUUAUGACAUUGUUGGUUUUAAUAAUGAAAUAGAUGAACAUUUAGUUGAGCUCGAAAAAGUUUCAGAUAAAUAUAAUGAUUCAAAUUGUACAGAAGAAAAUCUUACAGACCAUAAAAAAGUUAAAGAAGAUAAACAUCACCUUCUAGAUGUCGAAAAUCCAUGUCUUAAUAAUUUACGAAAAAAGAAUUAUAAGAAAAAAAGUAUAUGCAAAGUUCUACCAGUACUGCACUACUCAAAAUGUGUGCACUUUUUAUUUAGGUUUAUUUGUGAAGUAUACUUUGUUAAUUAAUAUUCCAUUCAUACAAUUUGCUAGUUAAGAUAGCUAUCAUAAUUAAAAAUAAUUGAUUUUGUUAUAGAAGGUUGAAGAUUGUUUUAUGCAAGUUGGAGCAGUCACCUAUUUCCAUGAUUAAAAUAAAAUAAAUGAUUGAAUUUUUUAUCUUAAAUUUACCAUCUAGAUAAUAAAGUAGUUGAUCAAAUGUUGGAUGGAUUAGCUAAUUUUGAGGCAUACGAUAAUAACAAGCAAGUUUUCCUUUUAAAAAAAUUAGUUAUUUUAAGCUUAUUAACUGAUUAUAACACUGAAUUAAAUGCAUAUAUGAGUUGUGGAAAAGUAUCGCACAAAACUACACAAAAUUUUGCAUUUAAUUUAUGGCAAUGAAGUUAAAGAAUGCCAUGUUAUUUUAUUAGAUCUUCUUAAACCAUAUAGAUAUUUGGUGAGAAAAAAAAUAGAAGAUUUGAGAAAAUCUUUUAAGUUGAAUAAUAUUGUGUUGAAAAAUCCAUUUAAUGAAGCAUCUUUCUUUGAAGAUUUCGAACACACAGUUUAUGAAGCCAUUCAGCGAAUAAAGACUAAAUAAAAAAUGUGAUAAAAGAAAACUUUUCAGUACUUUAAAUAUAAUUACACGUGUUCUUAAAAGUUACGUAUUUAAAUAUAGACUACGAAAAGUUGUAUCAAAAGGAGAAAGAGGAUUGCAUCUGUAAAUAUUUAUGUAAAUAUGUAUCACGUUGUCAGAACGAAAAAAACCAACUUUAAUUUAUUUCUUAUUAUAAUACAAUAUAUUACAAUAAAAAAUAUCAAUUUCACAAGAAA